UACGGGGGGGCAAGCGUUGUUCGGAAUUCCUGGGCGUAAAGGGCUCGUAGGUGGCCAACUAAGUCAGACGUGAAAUCCCUCGGCUUAACCGGGGAACUGCAUCUGAUACUGGAUGGCUUGAGAUUGGGAGAGGGAUGCGGAAUUCCAGGUGUAGCGGUGAAAUGCGUAGAUAUCUGGAGGAACACCGGUGGCGAAGGCGGCAUCCUGGACCAACACUGACGCUGAGGAGCGAAAGCCAGGGGAGCAAACGGG
rnacentral:rRNA from 1 species